rnacentral:lncRNA from 1 species
GGGAGUUGCAAUGAGAUUAGUGGAAGAACAGCAUCUAGUAAAGAUGAGGUCAAGCGUAUUGCCUGCCUUGUGAGUAGGGGGGGAAGGUGAGAGGGUGAGGUCGAAAGAGGAGAGGAGUGGAAAGAAGGAGGCAGAGAGGAAUGAGUCGAAGGUAGACGUGGGGAGGUUAAAGUCACCCAGAACUGUGAGAGGUGAGCCAUCCUCAGGAAAGGAAGUUAUUACAAACAUGUUACACUAAACGUGCCCACUCUGGUCUAGGUACGUGCGCUGUAGCCAACAGCUUGCAGAUACAGUGUGGGUAGGCUACCUAUGUGAUUACACCAUUAUGGAUAAGAGAGAUAUUAAUUGUAUUUGUCAAACGUGUAGCCAAGCAUCGAUUAUCAUGUCACCAGAAUAAAACCCUCGAUAUUUAAAGGAGCAUCAAGCUCACCGAGUGCACAUUCACCAGCCUGUGAAGUUCAUCAAAAUGUAUUUAAUCUGUAGCUUACUGCAUGGUUUCCUGAGUCGUAGUCAGAGGACCACACAUUAUAUUAUCUUUAAGUCUCCCAAGUUAACUUUCGAUACGAUGGUUAUUAUUUCAAUAUUUGUGCAUAAAAGUGUUUCCAAUGCCAUUUCUUGCAUAAUUAAUUUUACAGACACAAAAAAGAUCACACCAUGUCGAACGAACAAAAUAUCUGUCGGCAUUUAUAAAAUUGUACCGGCAUUAUGCUGUUUCCGUCAGCCUCUUUUUUUAAAAAAUGCGUCAGGUUAUUCAUCCGCAUGAAAUGGCUGGAUGGAAACCCUGAUCUCAACCCCUCCUUCACCUAAUCCACAGAUAUCCAUCUGUCUUCCCUAUAUCAAUUUGUGAAUUUACGUAGCAGGUUAAGUGAAUUUACGUAGCAGGUUUGGUGAAUUUACGUAGCAGGUUAGGUGAAUUUACGUAGCAGGUUAGGUGAAUUUACGUAGCAGGUUAGGUGAAUUUACGUAGCAGGUUAGGUGAAUUUACGUAGCAGGUUAGGUGAAUUUACGUAGCAGGUUAUGUGAAUUUACGUAGCAGGUUAUGUGAAUUUACGUAGCAGGUUAGGUGAAUUUACGUAGCAGGUUAGGUGAAUUUACGUAGCAGGUUAAGUGAAUUUACGUAGCAGGUUAGGUGAAUUUACGUAGCAGGUUAGGUGAAUUUACGUAGCAGGUUAGGUGAAUUUUGGUUAAGUUCAGAAUAAGGGUUAGCUGAAAAAUUAUAAAGUUUUCCAUGACGUGACUCGAACACGCAACCUUUGUAUUGCUAGACUGUCGCGGAUUACGCCCAACCAUCCUCCCUUCUUUAUUUCUGUCUCAAGUAACUAGACCAGUAAGUAUCAUAAGUCUUGGAGGUGCUCAGAAAUACAUAAAGUAUGUUUUGUAUGGCUCUGAGUCCAGGCUGUUGUGUCACAUUGUGCCAAUCAUGCUUUAUAAAAGGAGAGAGCGCAGAGCUCCUCCAUAGGGACUCCUCCACCCUCCUCUCACAUCCCUUGAUAAUGUAUCUGCAUCUCUCCCUGAAGGCCAGAGCUCGUAGUGUGACCUUGUCCUUGCGUCGGGAAGGUCGUCCCGUCUAGAGAGUAGAAAAAGCUGCAUCCCAAAUAGAACCCUAGUCCUUCUAUUGUGCAUUGUUCCCCACAGGGAUGGUCAAAAGUAGUGCACUAUAUAGGGGAAUAGUCCCCCACAGGGCUGGUCAACAGUAGUGCACUAUAUAGGGGAAUAGUCCCCCACAGGGCUGGUCAACAGUAGUGCACUAUAUAGGGGAAUAGUCCCCCACAGGGCUGGUCAAAAGUAGUGCACUAUAUAGGGGAAUAGUCCCCCACAGGGCUGGUCAAAAGUAGUGCACUAUAUAGGGGAAUAGUCCCCCACAUGGCUGGUCAACAGUAGUGCACUAUAUAGGGGAAUAGUCCCACACAGGGCUGGUCAACAGUAGUGCCCUAUAUAGGGGAAUAGGGUGUCAUUGAGGGGCUUCUUUGGAUCCUGAAUGGGACAUUUCUUCUCCAACACCCUUUUAAUGUCAUCACUAAAAUACGAGGUCAUUAGGAGAUAUUAAAACACUGCUGACAAACUCAUUAACGUGAGACAUUAAACGGGGCGGCGGUUGAUUAAUCCGCUUUAACGAUUCUUUUUAAGUGGUUCUGCUUAAAAUUAAUACAGAUUUACUGGUGGAGCUAAUUCUAACUGAGGGCAAAACAGUAACACUGGGUGAAGGGUAGGGUGAAAGUCUGUGGCCAUGAGCCCCCCGCCGUCCUUCCCUCUAUCUCAGCUGAACUUGAAAGGCUCAAGGGGAAAAACCAAAAGGAUUCCAAAACCGUCACAACGCUCCUAUAAUUUGUUCACGGUUCAGACUUUUGUGAUGGUCAUAAAAAAAAAUAGGCCUAUUAUAAAGAAAUUCAGGCGUCAUGCCCAUUGGUGUGCCCCCUCAGAUUUGUCCUGUUAAAUGUUUUGUUGUCGUUUCUUUGUAAUACUAAUAGCCACUUAACAAUUUUAUGAAGUUGUUUUUACCCAGAUUUUAGCAGAGAUGCAGGAAAGCAUAUUUAGUUUCUAAACAAAAACAAAAAAACACCAGUUAGGAGGAAUCAGACAGCUCAAGAUGUAUACUUAGAUAUACAGAAAAAUAAAAAUG